ACGACAGCCUCCAUCCAUCCUGCACCUUCGUGCGGUGUGCGCGGCUCUGUCGGUGAUGGGAGGGAAGCCCGGAAUCCACCGGAGGGGCUCGGGAUUGCAUUUGGCUGAGGCCCUACCUGAGAAUAUUCCCCAGCUGUCUCCUGCUCGGUCACUCGGUUCCAGCUGGCCUGGGCGCGGCGAUGGUGUACUUGCUUCCCCCAAAGUACAUGUAGCUAAAAGUACACAUGACGCGGACAGGCUUCAGCAUUUCUGGGUUUUGUUCCUCUGGUUUACGUAAGAGGGUUGAGGCCGGCAGGAGUCCAUUCUUUUCAAAGAGCUGGGCCUUUUAAUAAUAGCAGUGGGUAAUGAAAUGCACAGUCCCUAAGAAGCAAUGUUUUUUGAUGUUAAAACAUGGAACACAAAAGGCCUGUCGCAGAAAAGGGACUAAGAAACAGUUACCCCGCUGCACGGUUUUGAACUUCUCUCUUUGUCCACUAGAGGACGCAGUUCUGAUGCGCCACCGUGUUCGCUUUUGUAACUUGGUCCACUUCUAGUUUUUUAAUUUCGCCAAGCCCUUAUUUCACCAGAAAGUUCUGCAGAAGUUUAAUCUGCAGGGUUGGGCUCCUUGUUAGGACUCUGCCAAGAGGUCCCCACUGCACACAGCUCCUGGGAAGCAUUCGUCUUGUCGUGGACGAGCCAAGCCCCCGCCCAGGCACGGGACAUGCCCUUGGGGAGAAGAGCACGAGAGCAUGUCCUAACGCAGCCUCCGUCCACACUCACUCCGGGGGACCAGCUCUGGUCGGCGUGAGAGAUCUUUCUUGGGACCAUUUUCCGCUGCUGUCACAGUAUUGGCCUUAGAAGUCUUUCCUGUUCUUGGGCUAACAGACUGGCCCAGUGCGGGGACCCGUGAUCUGUGCAGAGGGAGUGUGCAGCUGUGGGAGGCGCCCUCUCACCUCUGUUGAACCGUAACCAUGUUGUUCCUCAGGGAACUAACCUGGACUUGGGAAGAGACAUUUGGAUAGAAGUUCCUGGGACAGCCUGUUGCCUUUCAUCUUGUAGAUGAAGCCAGAGACCGCCCGGACGUCCUGUCUCACCCACUGUCUGUUCUCUAGCCUCUGCCACUUCUAGAAACCAUGUACUUCUUGUUUUUUGUAUUUUUUUUUUCCAACAAAGAGUAGAUCUGUGUCAUUUAAAUUACUACCAAGAAGACAACAAAGUAUACUCUCCUCUAACCUUCACAGGGCAGGGGUCUGUUUUGGUUUUCCGUGGUUACACAUAAUGACUGUGUUUAAAAGUGAUUCAAAAGCGAUUCUUCGUUCCAAUAUUUUUUUUAGAUCAAUUAUGCAACUGCAGCAGAAAACCAGUUCUUUUCUUGCAAGUGUAAUUAAAAAUGGAGCCAAGUGAGUCGGGGGAAGGUCACGUGUCUCAGGCUUGGCAGCUGUGCGUCGUGUCCCGGUUACGCAACACUGUUUUCGACCUGCGGCCCGUCAGCAAAACCUUCAGAUGAUCGUAUGGAAUUAAAAUAAGACUUUAACUUUC